rnacentral:rRNA from 1 species
AUUGACCGCUGGCGGCAGGCCUAACACAUGCAAGUCGAACGAGUGGCGGACGGGUGAUUAAUGUCUGGGAAACUGCCUGAUGGAGGGGGUUAACUACUGGAAACGGUAGCUAUUACCGCAUACCAUCGGAUGUGCCCAGAUGGGAUUAGCUAGUAGGUGGGGUAUAGGCUCACCUAGGCGGCGAUCCCUAGCUGGUCUGAGAGGAUGGACAGCCACACUGGAACUGAGACACGGUCCAGACGCCUACGGGACGAGGCAGGUGGGAAUUGUGCACAAUGGGCGAAAGCCUGAUGCAGCCAUGCCGCGUGUAUGAAGAAGGCCUUCGGGUUGUAAAGUACGUUCAGCGGGGAGGCGGUACCCGCAGAAGAAGCACCGGCGAACUCCGUGCCAGCAGCCGCGGUAAUUC